UACAGAGGGUGCGAGCGUUAAUCGGAGUUACUGGGCGUAAAGGGCGCGUAGGCGGUUUAGUGAGUGUGGUGUGAAAGCCCCGGGCUUAACCUGGGAAGUGCAUCGCAAACGACUAGACUAGAGUAGAUGAGAGGGUGAUGGAAUUUCCGGUGUAGCGGUGAAAUGCGUAGAGAUCGGAAGGAACGUCGAUGGCGAAGGCAGUCACCUGGCAUCAUAAUGACGCUGAGGCGCGAAAGCGUGGGGAGCAAACAGG
rnacentral:rRNA from 1 species